rnacentral:lncRNA from 1 species
ACUGCAUUCUAUAGACUGCAUUACUGUCUUCUAUACUACUGGUACACAGAAGAUAUCUGUAUAUAUAUAGAUAGAUACAGAUAGAUGAUAUAGAUACAGAUACAGAUUUUUUUAGAGAGGCUGAGAGACUCAGUGAGAGAGAGAGAGAGAGAGAGAGAGAGAGAGAGAGAGAGAGAGAGGGGAGGGAGACUGAGGGAGAGAGACAGAGAAUCUUAAGCAGUCUCCACACUCAGCCUGCCCAGUCCUAUGACCCGGAGAUCAUGAUCUGAGCCAAAAUCAAGAGUUGACCUCUCGAUUAACUAAGCCACCAGGUGCCCCCAGGAUAUUAUUUGAUAUUGUUUGGGUUUCUAUUUCUCAGAGUUGUUGUUUUUUUUUUUUUUUUCUUUUUUAGAAUAAGCAUGCUAAUUCAAUCAAGUAUAUUGAGCACCUUAUGAGCAUCUGCAGUGACUCUAAGGCUGUGGUGUUCAAAAUCAGUGAAGGUGCUGACUCUCAAAGAGGAGGAAGGCUCAUUUAUAUCACUUUGGUGGAGCAGACUUGAAGUAUCGCCCCAACCCAGUGAUCCAGAAGUCGAACUCAGUCAUUCUGCACAAUAAAGAUAACAGCUGCUGGCUCGGGUCCUAUUUC